UUCUUAUUUUGCCUAAGGCGGGCCAAGAAUGCUGGAUUCUGAAACAACUUUACCAAGAAUGAAAUCAUCUGCUUCUGCCUCUGCUCUGCUCCCUGAAGCCUUUGACGCACUGCUUCCAUAUGAUGAACAGCUCCAUGCUGCUCCUGGUGCAGUUCUACAACCUCUUGCAUCAUCAUACUCCUCUCUUCACUCAAUCUUUCUAUCUCUCUUUCCAGUUCUGACUUUCCCACUUCAGUAGAAGGCCCAGUAUAGCUAGCAAACUGCCGGGAUUGGGGUGACUUGCGCCUCUGUAUAUUCUUCAACAGACGCCUCUCACCUCGCCGGAAAGCUUCAUUGGCAAAUUCCCACUUAUCACUGUCAAUCUUGCGGAACCCCUGCACAAGAUGCAACUCCCCGCUCCAAUGCGCGCUCAGAGGGGAAGGAUGUCCUUUCGUUGGCAGUAUGAAGAGCAGAACCUUUACAGUUCUCUUAAAUCUACCAUAUUCAUUUCUUAAAGGAGAAGACAAGCCUAACCCAUAGGUGAUUCUCCCUCAACAUUACAAUUCUACAAUUCUAAAGGUAACUACAAUAAUCAUUACAAUUCAACUGGAUACAUAUCAAUCCAUUACAGUUACAUGUACGAUUACAAGAAUU
rnacentral:misc_RNA from 1 species